GCGCCUGUAGCUCAGUGGAUUAGAGCAUCUGACUACGGAUCAGAAGGCCAGGGGUUCGAAUCCUCUCAGGCGCUUCA
rnacentral:tRNA from 1 species